rnacentral:misc_RNA from 1 species
GAUGAAGAACGUAGCGAAAUGCGAUAAGUAAUGUGAAUUGCAGAUUUCAGUGAAUCAUCGAAUCUUUGAACGCACCUUGCGCCUUGCGGUAUUCCACAAGGCAUGCCCGUUUGAGUAUCAUUAAAUCAUCAACUCUAAAACCUUUGUGGUUUUUUUAGAGCUUGGUCUUGAGGGUUUUGCAGGCUUUUUUUUUUCGAGUCUGCUCCCUUUAAAUGCAUUAGCGAGACUUCCCUAUGCUGAACCGUCUCUUUGACGUGAUAAUUAUCUGCGUCGAAUUUUGGUUCUCGUUGGGCUUGCUUCUAAUCGUCUGUUAAAGACAAAACGGAUUUGGGUGCAUAUAUGCGCCUUUUUCCAAAACCUUUUUUGAUCUCAAAUCGGGUAGGACUACCCGCUGAACUUAAGCAUAUCAAUAAGCGGAGGA